rnacentral:rRNA from 1 species
UACGAAGGGGGCUAGCGUUGUUCGGAAUUACUGGGCGUAAAGCGUGCGCAGGCGGCUUCUCAAGUCAGGGGUGAAAUCCUGGAGCUCAACUCCAGAACUGCCUUUGAUACUGAAGAUCUUGAGUUCGGGAGAGGUGAGUGGAACUGCGAGUGUAGAGGUGAAAUUCGUAGAUAUUCGCAAGAACACCAGUGGCGAAGGCGCUCACUGGCC